rnacentral:tRNA from 1 species
GCGCGUGUCGUAUAAUGGCUAUUAUCCCGGCCUUCCAAGCCGAUGAUGCGGGUUCGAUUCCCGCCACGCGCUCCA